rnacentral:rRNA from 1 species
AUUGAACGCUGGCGACAGGCUUAACACAUGCAAGUCGAGGGGCAGCAUAGAAGUAGCAAUACUUUGGUGGCGACCGGCGCACGGGUGAGUAACGCGUAUGCAACCUACCUAUCAGAGGGGAAUAACCCGGCGAAAGUCGGACUAAUACCGCAUAAAACAGGGGCACCGCAUGGUGAUAUUUGUUAAAGAAAUUCGCUGAUAGAUGGGCAUGCGUUCCAUUAGGUAGUUGGUGAGGUAACGGCUCACCAAGCCGACGAUGGAUAGGGGAACUGAGAGGUUGGUCCCCCACACUGGUACUGAGACACGGCCCAGACUCCUACGGGAGGCAGCAGUGGGGAAUUUUGGACAAUGGGCGAAAGCCUGAUCCAGCCAUUCCGCGUGCAGGAUGAAGGCCCUCGGGUUGUAAACUGCUUUUGUACAGAACGAAAAAGCUCUAGUUAAUACCUGGAGUCCAUGACGGUACUGUAAGAAUAAGCACCGGCUAACUACGUGCCAGCCGCCGCAGUAAAAC